CCAACAGAUAUUAUAAACAGUCCUUUUUUACAGCCCAGUACCCAAAACUAAAUACAAUGGGCCCGAUGCCCCAAGUACCAUAUACAAACCCAAAACAUAACCCAAGACCCAAUUAAAAUCUAAUAGCUAAAACCUAACCCAAUACCCCAGAGGCCCAAACGAUAGCCCAACUACAAGAACAGGUCCAAUAAACCCAUAUCCUUAACAGGUUUCAGAAACCCUAAGUCAUCCCCUUCCUUGCAUCACAGCAACCCCUGGCCUUCGUACCCCCUUGCGCCAUACGCUCAGUACCCUCCAGCAGCCACGCCCACGCCUCCGUACGGCUCCCUGCACACCUCCGUACGGCCUUCACAUACCACCCGUACCCGAGCGCCAGCACACCCACACCUACAAAGAGACAAACAAGCAACAACAGCAAAGGGAAAUAAAAAAAGAAAAACAUUGUAUUUUUUAUUUUUCGUAAAUUUUUCCUCUUUCUUUUUCGGCUAUAAAGCUAGAAUUUUAGUCUUUGUAAAGGGUUACGCAACAAAAAAAUGAAAUAUCAACGCAUAUUGUAUGAAUACAGAGACAAUAGAAAGCAAUCGAAAAAACUGAGAAGGUGAUUUCCCUUCCCUUUUGAACUCUCUGUUCUUCACUUAUUUCAGUGGGCUUUUCUUCAUCGUUUUAUACUAAAAAAAAGGGAGAAGCGAAGCUUACCUACGUUUGAUGCCUUCAAACCCUCGCUUGCUUCGCUAUGAUUGAAACCAAGUGGCGAUUCGGGGUUUAUGAGCAAGACGCGUGAGUCUUUCGAUUCGAUGAAGCCUUGAUUGACUCUCGAAUGAGUCAAAAGGAGAGGCAGGAGAACAGGCCUUCGAAAGACCAGUGAACGACGAAGGGUGAGGGCACCCUAGUUCUUUUUUUCUUUCUCACCCUUUGAA
rnacentral:lncRNA from 1 species